UGUUGCUGGAUAUGUUGGUAUUUUAUUAUUUUUUUGUUUGCUCUGUUUUGCUGACUAUUUACUACAUUGAUAUCCUGAAUAAAAAAAAAAAAAAAAAAAAAAAAAAGUUAUUAAAAAUUGUUGGUCGAUUAUUUGUACUUAUUAUAUACAUAUUAUAGCUUUUUUUAAAGGUUGUUAUUAUGUUAAAUGAUUAUACUAUUAAUGAAUGUUUCAUGAGUGUUGGAAUUAUUAAGGUUCUACUAGUCUGUUGAAUUAGUUUAUAUUUUGGUGUUUGUUGUUGUGUUAAAUAUGUUUUAAUGUCUUUAUUUGAAUAUUUAAGUGAGUUGAAUGGAUUUACGUUGGUUGAAAUGUAUUCAAUUGGACACAUGAUACUUUUUUUUUUGUGAAAUUUUUUGCUGUUUGUUAUUUUAAUUAUUUUUUUGUUUUUUUUCCUUCGUUAAGUAAUCAGUUUGUUAUGUAGGGUACUUGAUUUAUUUUAUGAAUUUGAUUGGUUGUUUCUAUUUGGAUGCAUGAAAAAUGUAUUUAGUUGUGUGAAACAACGCCAUAUACAGCGAAUGAAUCCAAAAAAAAAUAAAGUAAAAAAAAACAAGAGCUGAAAUAAGUUCAAUUAAAAUGUUUGAUAUGCCAUGCUAGAUUAAAUUAAAUUCAAAUAAGUUAUUAAAAACAAUAAAGCAAAACUAUAAUGUAUAUUCUGUAAUUCUAAUAUGUAUAUAAUUAGAUAUAAGUUUAUACCGUUUAUAAAAGUAUAGAUAUAAAACUUAAUAGCAAAAAUAAUACGAAAAAAAAAAACACUACUAUUCCUAAAAACAUGAAAAAUAAAAGAAAUCUUCAACCCGUAAACCAUUAUUCUUAAACCAGAAACCAAUUCAAAGCCCUUUCUCCUAAAACAACCCGCUUAAAUGAAAUCAUCAACCCGUAAGCCAUUAUUCUUUAACCCCAAAAAACCAAUCAAAAAAACCUUUUCCAUGAAACAACAAAUAAUAAUAAAAAAAUAUUAUAUUAAAAUUAAUACUUUCUAUUUAUUUGAAUAUGUACUUUCUGUAAUUUUUUUGUUUUGUUGAAAUGUUUUUAUGAUUCAUUGAGUUCUGUUGUUUUGAAGCGAUAGGUUAAAUAAUAGCAAUAAACAUUUAUUAAUCAGUUGGUCUAUAAGAAGG
rnacentral:lncRNA from 1 species